AGACCCGAAACCCGGUGAUCUAGCCAUGGGCAGGUUGAAGGUUGGGUAACACUAACUGGAGGACCGAACCGACUAAUGUUGAAAAAUUAGCGGAUGACCUGUGGCUGGGGGUGAAAGGCCAAUCAAACCGGGAGAUAGCUGGUUCUCCCCGAAAGCUAUUUAGGUAGCGCCUCGUGAAUUCAUCUCCGGGGGUAGAGCACUGUUUCGGCUAGGGGGCCAUCCCGGCUUACCAACCCGAUGCAAACUGCGAAUACCGGAGAAUGUUAUCACGGGAGACACACGGCGGGUGCUAACGUCCGUCGUGAAGAGGGAAACAACCCAGACCG
rnacentral:rRNA from 1 species